AAAGGCAAAAGAGAGCUUGAUUGCAAGACAUACAGGUCGAGCAAGGAUGAAAAUCGGACUUAGUGAUCCGGUGGUUCUGCGUGGAAGGGCCAUCGCUCAACGGAUAAAAGCUCCCCUGGGGAUAACAGGCUUAUCUCCCCCAAGAGUCCACAUCGACGGGGAGGUUUGGCACCUCGAUGUCGGCUCAUCACAUCCUGGGGCUGUAGUAGG
rnacentral:rRNA from 1 species